rnacentral:lncRNA from 1 species
CAAAAAAAAAAAAAAAAAGAUAAUGAAAUCCUUCCAUGCCAAUGCCAAUUGGUGAAGAGUGGCUGCUGGGCCGCUCUCCCUCGAGGUCCCCCUCUGUUCUGAUUACCCUGAGUGCCCUGCCAAGACCACCCCAGACCCCAUUUCUUGGGGCAAAUGGGACUCUGGACUCUUCUGCCAGCCCCCCUUCCACACUCCCCUUCCACCAAGGUAGCCCAGGUUUCACCUAUUUUGAUGCUGGGUGUCCAUAUAAGGCAUUGUUUGUAGAAUGUAUUCAGCCACCAAUGGGAUUAGAAAGCUUGAAAGCUGCUGCUCCAGCUUGGCCCUCAGGGCCCUGCAGCUUGCCCAGCCCUCGAGUCUCAGAGAAUGGAGCCCUUGCUGCCCUUUCUGCCUGAGCACUCACAGCUCAUUAAGAAGUGGAAGCACACGUCUGCAAUCACCGUGUAAUUACCUUGCUUCCUAAUUGGCAGCAGACAAGGCCGGCAGGUGUGGCAAACCCCCGGUAAGCUGGCUCCAGUAGGUUGAGGCAGAGGGUGCCUGGACUGCGGGAAGGGAGUGGGCUUCUCUCAGGCCCCAGUUCUGUGCCCCGCCCUGCGCCCAGAGCCCCACACUCAGGAUCUUCACCGAUCUCUUGAGGGGGGUGGUCCUCUCCUCAACUGAGGCCGAGAAGUACGCAUCUGCCCGAGACCCCACCCGUCAGUGGGGUGGCCUAGAUGUGAACCUGGGGCUGCCUCAUGCCCAGACUUGCUGUUCCCGCCCAGGCCGCACAGAGGGAAGGAAAGACGUAGGCAGGGGUUGGAGCCGAGGAGCUCGGGGUACACCUUCGUUGCUGCCUUUGGAGACAGACACCCCAAAACACGACUCAGCACUUUUGCAUCCCCCCCACCCCGCCGUGCAGCAGGGCCAGGCAUGACCCAGCACUUUUGCAUUAUCCCCCCGCAGCCCGUGCAGCAGGGCCAGGCACAGGAAGUCCCAACUGCAGCAGUGGACACCCUGCCAUCAGAAUCUGCUGGGGAGCUUUUCCAGAGUGUGGGUGUCAGUCCCACCCUGGCCUACUGGAUCGGAACCCAAAACCAAAAGCCCUGCCUCAGCGAGCAAGUUCAAAGUCAUUGGCCCAAAGGAAAAACUCCAAGUCCUUUGUUGGUCAUUCAGGGUGGUCAUGAGGGCUGACUGAGGAACAGGCUGUGCACACGCAGCUCAGGACCUUGUGAGAGCAUCAGGCCUGCCAACAACCCCAUGGUACAACAAGAAAAUGGCUGUGCUGGAGCCCUGGACGCCGGAAAUCUGAGAUGAAGGUGCCGGCAGGGCCCUGCCCGCUCUGAAGUCUCUGGGGGAAGCUUCUUUGCCUCUUCCAGCUUCUGGUGGCUCCACGCACUGCUGGGCUCGUGGCUGCCUCCCUCUGGUCUCUGCCCCGGUCUGCACGUGGCCUUCCCUGCGUGUUUCUGUGUCCUUGCUGCUGCUUAGAAGCACAGCAGCCAUUGGAUUAGGACCCACUCUCAUCCAGCAUGGCCUCAUCUUAACUCAUUACGUCUACAAAAUCUCCAUUUCCAAAUAAGGUCCCAUUCUGGGGUCCUGAGUGGACACGGCGGGGACACCAUCAACCCAUCCUAAGGCCUUCUUGGGCAGCCUCAGGGGGAAGCCGGACCAGCCUUAAGUGAAAGUGGAGGGUUCCAAGGAUCCUACAAAGGGGCCCUGACCCAGUCGGUGGGCAGCAGGGGACAGAGUGGACGUGGAACUUGUAGACAGACAGAACGAUGCACAGGACUCACCCCCACCACCAGAGGUCUGUGUGCAGAGACGACAGAGGGCAGCGUCCCUCCCACUGCCCAUCACCCAUGGAGUGUGGAAAAUCCCGGUCAAGACAGCAGCCCGGGCCGUGAAAUCGAAUCUGGGGGUCCCAAGCAUCGGCGUUUGUGCAGCUCUCGGUGGUUCCAAAGUCAGCCAAGAUCUCGGUUCUGGGCCGCCAGGGGCUCUGGAGUCAGACACCUCGUGUCUAAGUCUCCACCAGUUACUGACCGAGCGACCUCAGCAGUACGUUCACCGCUCCGGGUGUCCCUGUCCCCUGUGGAUGGCAUCAUUGCCUCCCUUAUGGAGAUGAGAAGAAUCAAACGGGAACGUUGGCUCCGUGCCUGUCACGAGGGAAGUGCUUGAUAGACGGUGCCCUUCUGCGCCACGUAGAGAGAAAACCGAGGGAGCCUCAUUUAAACUGCAGGCCUGGGAAGGCCUGUGGACUUUCAGGGAAGCUGAGAAGGGGCCCUGGCACCGGUCUGCAUGCCAGCUGGGCAGGGCAGGGUGAGCCUGGUGCAUAUACCUGGGGCCACACAGCAGGGCCUCAUGCUUCUUUUUUGGACCCACUUGACGGAUGGGGAGACUGAGUUCAGAGAGGCCAAGUGGCUUGCCAGGGUCACGCAGCUGAUACACAGCAAAUGGAUUUUAAACCCACCUGACCGCAAUUCCAAGCAUUGUUUUCUUGGGUCAAACCUUGGGAGCUCAAAGGGUGAUCCUGACCUGUGAUGGCUCCAUUUUAUGCAGAAUAUUUUGUUUUGUUUUUUAAUUUGCCUGUUUACUCUAAUGUUCCCAGUCGUUUUCCUCCCAGGGAUCCUCACUCACAAGUGGACUCUGACGGCCUCGGGGGCUCAGAUUUCACAAUCGGCUAAGGCUAACAUAAGGCCUUCCAGGUUACAAGGCUGAAAGUUAUUUUCCAUCAUUCAUUUGUUCACUUUACAUAACAUGCACCUAUUGAGCACCUGCUGUAUACUGGGAACCAAGUUAAACACCAGGUUUGCAGAGGUGGACAAGGCCCUGUUCCUGCCUCCAGGGUCUCCAACCCAUCAGGAGACGCAGGCCCUUUGACAGACACUGGUGAUAAAAUGACAGUGGAGGUCUGUUCAAGAUACAGGCAAGUUGGAUGGGUGGGGUGGGAAUGCCCACUGCCCUUGAGGGUGGGCAGGGGACAGAGGUGUCAUUUACGGUGGGUGUCAAGGAGUUUGGUUCAGAACAAGAGCAAAGGCGUGUGCCCCAGGAUGUGGGACAGCACGUGGGAAGACAAGGUGAGGCAGACUUUGGGGACUAUCAGGGGCUCCAAGUGGUUGGUGUUGGGGGUGUCGAGAAGUGGAGGUGGAGGCCAGGACAGGACAGGGGCUGGGUGAGAGGCUAGUGCAGACAGGCAGAGGGAGGCAUGGCAGGGCAGUGAUGGGAGGAGGAGGGCCGCUGGGGUAAGGUGUAGUCUCAGUAGUUCCGUGGGUCUGGCUGCUUCCCAGGAGCUGACUAGACCCUCAUGGCCAAGUUCAUAGUCCUAUGCAGUCUGACCUUAGCCUACCUGCCCAGCCCAAUCCCUCUGCAGCUGCCACUCACACCUUCCAGCCGAGAACAUCUUCCCAGCUAGGAAACCGUCACACCUGUACACCUUUGCACCUGCUUGUCCCCUCACUCCCUGGGGCAUGCCCACCCGUGCAUCAGUUGAAGCCCAAAUGUGCCAUCAUCUGAGAAACAUUCCCAGUGUCCCCACAAAAAGAGGCUGGUGCCUCCUCUCGGCCACUGCAGCCUGGACAUCUGCCUAUUCAUUCAUGCUGUCGCCACACUGCACUGCCAUGGCUCAUGUAUGUGAGUUUCCUCUUCCCUGCUGUUGAGUGUAGGCUUCUUAAUUAUCUCUAUAUAUCACUAGCCCCUAGGAACAAGGUUCGCCACACAGUAGCUGCUCAGGGCUUUUGAUGAAAGAAGGAAUGAGAUUGCUGGCAAGGUAGGUGGGGGGAUGGUGGGAUGGAUGGAUGGAUGACUGGAUGGAGAGAGGAUGGAAGGAUGGGUGGUGAUAAUGGAUAGUUGGAUGGGGAAGUGGAGGGAUCAUGGAUCUCUGGCUGGGUGGAUAAGUGAAUAGGUGGGUGGAUAGGCAGGUAGGGAGGUGAUGGAUAGGCGAAUAGGUAGAUAGACAGAUGGGGGAGGGGAUCAUUGUGGAUAGAUAGGUAGAGGAGGAAUGGUGAAUACAUAGAUAGGCAGACAAGUGGGUGGGUGGCUGGAUAGGUGGGCAGGUGGGUGGUAGAUGGAUAAAGGAGUGAGUGGGCAAGUUGUACUUUUUGAACCAAUUUACAUCUGGGCAACACAGUAAGAAUAAAGGAUUAUGACCAAGGACAAAAGUUGCUGGGUUAGAUUUCAUGGAGGAGUAGGUGGAUGGAUGAUGGGUGGGAGAGGACAAACGAUAGGCUGGUGGGCUCUGUCAUGAUUCCCCCAAAUGGGGAUGCAGCAAGUCCAGUUCCAGCUGGUUCCAAGGGACGGACUCAGGUAGAUGGGACGGGUGCUGAUCAUAAUCCCAAAGACACAAUCCCGAUGCCGUGAUCCCAAACACUGAAACCCCAAAAGGUCAAAAUCUCCAAAGUCUAAAUCCCCCAAAUCACAAUUCCAAGAGGUUAAAAUCUUGAAUGUUGAAAUCUUGAAAGCCAAAUUCUGAGGAAAGGAUCAGUGCGUUUUCGGUUGUACACGAGAUAGUUGCACCAUGUUCACUGCAUCAAGUUAGGCGAGCUAGUGCCUUGUUAUUGUCUUUAUUUGGAAAUAGCAUGGUUUAAGGAGACGUGUAUGGGUGCCGAGUUGACAAUGGGUGGAUUUGCGGACUUUAUUUCAGGUGUUGACUUGGCUGGAUUAAGGAAUCUGGGCGUGGGCCAGGUACGGUGGCACAUGCCUGUGAUCCCAGCACUUUGAGAGGCUGAAGUGGGCAAAUCACUGGAGUUUAGGAGUUUGAGACCAGCCUAGACAACAUGGUGAAACCCCAUCUCUAAAAAAAAAAAAUUAAAAAAAUUAAAAAAUACAAAAAUUAGCCUGGCAUAAUGGUGCACACCUGUGGUCCCAGCUACUUGGGAGGCUGAGAAGGAAGGAUCAUUUCAGCCCAGGAGGUCAAGGCUGAGGAGGAAGGAUCAUUUGAGCUCAGGAAGUCAAACGCUGCAGUGAGCUGGGAUCGUGCUACUGUCUGGGCAACAGAGUGAGACCCUGUCUCAAAAGAAAAAAAAAAAAAGAAAUUUGGGUGUUUCUGUGAAGGUGCUUCCAGAAGCGGUUGGUGAGUGAGUCUAGAUGGAUUAGGUGGGGAAGCUCUCCCCUCACUGUUGGUGGGCACCAUGUAAUUGGCCAGGGGCCUGAGAGAACAAAGUAAGAAGGCAAAUUGUCUCUUUUUUUGUUUGUUUGUUUGAGACGGAGUCUCGCUCUUUUGCCCAGGCUGGAGUGCAGUGGCAUGAUCUUGGCUGUCUGUGACCUCCGCCUCCCAGGUUCAAGCGAUUCUCCUGCCUCAGCCUCCUGAGUAGCUGGGAUUACAGGUGCCCGCCACCAUGCCCAGCUAAUUUUUGCAUUUUUUUUUUCAGUAGAAAUGGGAUUUUGCCCUGUUAACCAGACUGGUCUUGAACUCCUGACCUCAAGUGAUCCUCCCGCCUCAACCUCCCAAAGUGCUGGGAUUACAGGCCUGAACCACUGUGCCUGGCCCGAAUUGGUCUCUUUCUGAGAGCUGGGACUUCUCCUCUGCUGCCUUGGACAUUAGAAAUUUGACUCCAUGGAGCUGCAUUACCAUAUGCUGACUGUGUGUGUAAGCAUUGGACAUGUAUGGAAAAACAUCGAAACUUCCUCAGUAAACGAACAGGUGCACUUUAUGUAUGACUGUACGUGUGAAAGGUAAAAUUUCUUCAGAGCUCGGCUUUUUGGGUGACUGCCUAGGCUGUCAUGACCCAUCAUGGUUUUUAAAAUUUUUCUUUUUAUUUUUUUGAGACAGAGUCUUACUCUGUCAUCCAGGCUGGAGUGCGAUGGCGUGAUCUCGCUCACUGCAACCUCUGCCUCCUGGGUUCAAGCGAAUCUCCUGCCUCAGCCUCACGAGAAGCUGAGAUUACAGGUGCCCGCCACCACGCCCAGCUAAUUUUUGUAUUUUAAUAGAGAUGGGGUUUCACCAUGUUGGUCAGGCUGGUCUCGAACUCCUGACCUCAAAUGGUCUGCUUGCCUCGGCCUCCCAACGUGCUGGGAUUACAGGUGUGUGUGUGAGCCACUGCGCCCAGCCCCAUCAUGGUUUUUGAUAGAUCUUGUGAAAGACUUAGGUUGUCCGUCAGGGUAUUUCAGAUGACCGCAGUUAUAAAGCUGAGUGCAUACAAUUACCAGCCAUGCUUAAUUACCAGCCACAGUGAUGUGUGCUUAUACCUUUCACUUUUUUGUCUGCUCAUAACUGUCAUACCCUCAUGAUUGCUGCUAGCAUACCUGUUUAUGCUUGCAAAUAUAUGUAUGUCAUUUUUGCCUAUUUCAUUGUAUAAAAUGGCCUAUGAAGUGUUCUGUCAUGUUUUUAUGUUUCUCAUGUAAAUCUCCUGUUAAAAAUGUAAAUACAUUUUUUAAAUAACUUUGAAAAAUUAUU